AUUGAACGCUGGCGGCAUGCUUUACACAUGCAAGUCGAACGGCAGCGCGGGCUUCGGCCUGGCGGCGAGUGGCGAACGGGUGAGUAAUGCAUCGGAACGUGCCCAGUAGUGGGGGAUAGCCCGGCGAAAGCCGGAUUAAUACCGCAUACGACCUGAGGGUGAAAGCGGGGGACCGAAAGGCCUCUCGCUAUUGUAGCGGCCGAUGUCGGAUUAGCUGGUUGGUGGGGUAAAGGCUUACCAAGGCGACGAUCCGUAGCUGGUACGAGAGGACGACCCGACAGACUGGGAGUGAGAAACGGCACAGACUCUUACGGGAGGACGCAGCGGGGAAUUCUGGACGAUGGGGGAAAGGCUGAUACAGGCAUGCCGGGUGCGGGCAGAAGGAGUUAGGCCUGUAGAGUGAUUUUGUUCGGGAAGAAAUCCUCUGGGCUAAUACCCCGGGGGGAUGACGGUACCGGAAGAAUAAGCACCGGCUAACUACGUG
rnacentral:rRNA from 1 species